UGAAUAUAUAUUAAUUUGCACCAAUUGUUUAUUGUUAAAAUUAAAAUUUCCGGUCAUUCCGCAAGUAUAAUAUAAUAUAAUCUAUUGAAAAUCCUGGUACCAAUUAUAUUCAUGAUCAUUUUCAAUGAUUAAAUAAUAUCUUGUAUUUUUCAAUUUUUACUUACCCUUGAAAUCGUUGAUUCCGCUUCUCCAAUAAUUAUUCCCAUCGAUUACACCAAAUAAGUAUCCCAAACUUGUGAUUUUUUAGCACGUCCGCUACACUGUGGAUACACUGCACUUACACAUUCGUCACAAUGCACAAUUAAGAAAAACCACGGUCUCUAGAUCCAAAAAGAGACGAGAAAACACUUUCCACUUUGCUAGACACCCGCGUCACUCAUUGGAAGAUUCCAUAUCAUCUUUUCAUCACCGCUCACAGUCGCGAAUCGCGAGACCGCUUUCAUGGAAAAUCGAAUUCAAGAAAAUUCUUAACCUCGUCAUCCUCUGAAAUUGUUUCAGAAAAAUAAGAUGCAUCUAAGAAAUAAUUCUAGAAAUUUUCCUACAAAUUAGAUGAUAAAUAUUCAGAUGUCUUGGAUUUUUGUCUCAGAUACCGGAAAUAUCUUUGAAAUAUAUGAUCGUAUUGGAAUUCACUCCUUGAACACCAUAUUUUUGUUAACCAAAUUAAUUGCAAAGCAACUCGAAAUAUCACAAAAGAAAUGAUACAUAUAACUGCGUUAGAAGUGAACUUCGUCAAUGACAGCGACAGACUGCGUGCCGUGGGACGCCAGCUGAACCAGCGAACGAACCCAGACAUGGACGGUGGAACGAGGACGGGAGGAACGGAGGAACGAGCGAAACAGCGGACUAUCAAGCUUGCACCUUUGCUCCCCGACAACGAUCAACCGCGAUCCCGGCUGCACUUGGUGUUCCACACGCGUCGGCCCUCACAUCAUCUUUUUCAUAGGGGGCUCGAGGGACGGGGAGAAGAGGGUGCUGCUUACCCGGUACACCGGGGAUUUCAUUGGCCCCCGCAUGAUGCAAUACACUCUGUCGAGAUGAAUCUUCACAGAUCCUAUAAACCUGCAACACGGAUUGUUUAAAGAUGAUAUAGAGAAUUUACAAUGAAGCAAUAAGACGAGAGAAUAUAUGAUUUUUGUUCUAGAAUUACGUAGCUGUAGAUACCAUACAAGGAUAAAGAAGGAAAGUCUCAUCCUACUUCCGGAGACGAGGUCGAAGUAUUUCGUGCGGAAAAACCGAACGACGGGGUCAGACGACCGGGUUCAGUGACACGGAGAGAAUUUGCUUUUCCGUGAGGGUGGAAAGUGGAGGAACAGAAACGGAGAUUGAGAGGGGAUGGCUAUUGAAUUGGCUGGACGGAGAAGUUAGCAGGAAAGAAAACUCGAUAGGAUAAACGUACUUACACGCUAGCACGAAUUCGGCGCGAAGGAGAACGAAAACGAAGCUGAACGUUCGUAUAGUUGCAGAGAGCUUCGAGGUUGUCUCGGAGACGCACAUGGUUACCUCCUUUCUCUUUCUCUCGCCCUUUUUCUUUCUCUAUCUAGUCUUUGCCCUCUCACCCUCUUUCAGUCAGUGGUCUGUCGCGUUCCGUCUCUGUUUCUCGCAGCUCUCCGUUUAGGCCGUGCGAAAUUCAGUGCCAGUGGCGUAACCAGUGGGGGACCAUCGACCCCACUCUACAUUGCUAUAGUCUAACUCUUACCCCUCCCUCGUGCAGCUGGCCAGCGUUGCCACUUGCCAAUGGCGUUGCCAGCUCGUUGCAACCGAGUGGGAGACAGCCUCCUCCCCCCUGUUAUCCCACCUAAGGUCGACUUAGAAAAUCAGUCAACAUGCGACGAAAAUCCCGCCCGCCACAUCGUUCCGACCCUAAUUUUUAGCUAUUUACUUGCCUUUUCUCUUAAUGAGCAAUACAUAAGAACCUUUUAAAAGGAAACGAAUAAUUCUUUUUUAAAGGUUCAGAAUCGAAAAAAAGAAUAUUUAUAUUAUUCUAUUUAUCGAAUGUACAUUUUUUGAGCAUUUUCUUUUGUAAAAUUAUUAAAUUUUUAUAAAUUAAAAUAUAUUCAUAUAGGAAAUAUAUUCAUAUUCUUCAAAUUA